UUAAGCUAAUAAGAGCGCAGGGUGGAUGCCUUGGCACUAAGAGCCGAAGAAAGACGUGAUAAGCUGCGAAAAGCUGCGGGGAGGAGCAAAUGUCCAUUGAUCCGCAGAUGUCUGAAUGGGGAAACCCGUCUGGAAGAACUCCAGUCACUGCAUGCUGAAUACAUAGGCAUGCAGGGGGAACCCGGUGAACUGAAACAUCUAAGUAGCCGGAGGAAAAGAAAGAAAAAUCGAUUUCCAAAGUAGCGGCGAGCGAAAUGGAAGGAGCCCAAACCGGGAUGCGUGCAUUCCGGGGUUAUGGACCGCAAGAAGUGACCCGUAAGAUAGAAGAAUGGCAUUGGGAAAGCCAGCCACAGAGGGUGAAAGCCCCGUAUUCGAAAUCAGAAGGGAGCGAGCGGAAUCCGAAGUACUACGAGACACGUGGAACCUUGUAGGAAAUCGGGGGGACCACCCCCCAAGGCUAAAUACUCCUUAGUGACCGAUAGCGCAUAGUACUGUGAAGGAACGGUGAAAAGAACCCCGGGAGGGGAGUGAAAGAGAACCUGAAACCCUGUGUUUACAAGCUGUGGAAGAGCUUUACAUGCUCAACCGCGUACUUUUUGUAGAACGGUCCGGCGAGUUACUCUUACUGGCAAGGUUAAGCACCAAAGGUGUGGAGCCGAAGGGAAACCAAGUCUUAACAGGGCGAGUUAGUCAGUGUGAGUAGACCCGAAACCGGGUGACCUACCCAUGUCCAGGAUGAAGUUGCCGUAAAAGGCAAUGGAGGUCCGAACACACAUCCGUUGAAAAGGGUGGUGAUGAGGUGUGGGUAGCGGAGAAAUUCCAAUCGAACCCGGAGAUAGCUGGUUCUCCUCGAAAUAGCUUUAGGGCUAGCCUCAAUUUAGUCUUGCGGAGGUAGAGCACUGAAUAUCCUAGGGGGCGUCAAAGCUUACCGAAGAUUAUCAAACUCCGAAUGCCGUAAAGAUGAUGAUUGGGAGUCAGACUGCACGAGAUAAGUUGGGUAGUCAAAAGGGAAACAGCCCAGACCUCCAGCUAAGGUCCCAAAGUGAGUGUUAAGUGGAAAAGGAUGUGGGAUUUCGAAGACAACUAGGAUGUUGGCUCAGAAGCAGCCAUUCAUUCAAAGAGUGCGUAAUAGCUCACUAGUCGAGAGGUCCUGCGCCGAAAAUGUCCGGGGCUAAACACUACACCGAAGCUGAGGAAUGACAAUGUCAUUGGUAGAGGAGCAUUCUUAACUGCGACGAAGCUGUACCGAAAGGAGCAGUGGAGUGUUAAGAAGAGAGAAUGCCGGAAUGAGUAGCGAGAGUGAGGUGAGAAUCCUCACGGCCGAAUAUCUAAGGUUUCCAGGGUAAAGCUGAUCUGCCCUGGGUAAGUCGGGACCUAAGGCGAGGUCGAAAGACGUAGUCGAUGGACAACAGGUUGAAAUUCCUGUACUGCAAUGUAUCAGAAAUGUGGGGACACAGACAGAGAGCCGGAGCCGGGAAUGGAGAAACCGGUGCAAGCGAGGUAGGAGAACAGCAGGCAAAUCCGCUGUUCAAUCUGAAGACGUGACGCGGAGCGAAAUUAAAGUAGCGAAGCCGGUGAGCUGGCUGUCAGGAAAAGCCGCUAUUGUGUACAUUGUACCCGUACCGUAAACCGACACAGGUGGAUGAGGAGAGAAUCCUAAGGCCGACGGAAGAAGCAUUGUUAAGGAACUCGGCAAAAUGGCCCCGUAACUUCGGGAUAAGGGGUGCCUACGAAGGUAGGCCGCAGAGAAUUGGCCCAAGCAACUGUUUAGCAAAAACACAGGUCUAUGCGAAACCGUAAGGUGAUGUAUAUGGGCUGACGCCUGCCCGGUGCUGGAAGGUUAAGGGGAGAGGUUAGACAUAAGUCGAAGCCUUGAACUUAAGCCCCAGUAAACGGCGGCCGUAACUAUAACGGUCCUAAGGUAGCGAAAUUCCUUGUCGGGUAAGUUCCGACCC
rnacentral:rRNA from 1 species